UACAGAGGUCUCAAGCGUUGUUCGGAUUCAUUGGGCGUAAAGGGUGCGUAGGUGGCGCCGUAAGUCGGGUGUGAAAUUUCGGAGCUUAACUCCGAAACUGCAUUCGAUACUGCGGUGCUUGAGGACUGGAGAGGAGACUGGAAUUUACGGUGUAGCGGUGAAAUGCGUAGAUAUCGAUAAGGAAGACCCAGUGGCGAAGGCGGGUCUCUGGACGAGU
rnacentral:rRNA from 1 species